CUUCAGUGAUGAGACGAUGACGAGUCGGAUCAGGGCUCCGUUUGGUUCUGGUUGCUGGUUCAGAUCCACGUUCUGUGGUUCUGCUCAAAGUUGUCAGAACCUGGCGGGUCCUUUUCAGCUGAAGACAUCGAGGCAUUUGUCUGAGAAGG
ensembl:snoRNA SNORD15 Small nucleolar RNA SNORD15